CACACCUGCAAUCCCAGCGACCUGGGAGGCUGAGGCAGGAGCAGAAACACCAACGGCAUCUCAUCCCGGGGACUGGAGAACAGAAGGCACCCAGAUCAUGAGGUGAUGGCUGCGGCACAGAGCAGAGCUUGGAGCUGUGAGGGGGGAUUCCUGAGCCAACCGCGGGAAGAAGUGAGGAGAUGCACACUCAAGGCCGAGAAGAGCUUUGGGGAAUUACUUUGGAGGAAUAGGAAGUAACCCCAUGGGGCUGACGUUACCUGAGCGUGCGAGCCUAAGGGACAUGGCUGAAGAAUUAAAUCGGAGCCAGACUGGGAGGCCUCCCAACCGGAGGAGCAGCUUAUGGGCUGCAGAUGUGCUGACCUUCAGGCCCCAGGACCUGGUUCAACCCCCAGCACCACCAAAAGAAGAACCAAAGGAGGGGCUGGGGCUGGGCUGGGGCCGAGCGGA